GAGGUUUGAAGGAGAUUUCCCAUUUAAUGCAUAAAUCGUAGCAUAUAGUUUUCAGCUAACCAGUCCAUUCCUAGGGUUACAUCUACGUUCCAUAUUGGUAUAACAUCAAGUUAUUCGCUACCACCUUAAGUGAUCCUGCAUUCGAUUACAGGUUCAUAUAACUACGUGUUACUAUCGUCGUUCCUUCUAUGGGUGAAAAGUUUUUUUUUUUUAUGUCUUGAUCACUUUGUUCAGUUUGAAUUUGUGACGGGUGAUCCCCGGGCAUAACUACCUUAGCGUCUAGAGUUUUGCUGAGCAAUUCAAAGUACGUAAACUCAUCGUGGUUGGCGAGUGCCAUUCUUAUCUCAUACUUUAGGCCAGGGCGAAACUUCUUCGGGAUCUUUUCAUUGAUGUCCACCUAUUGUGGGGUAUAACGGACAUGCCACAACAAAUGUGGUCAUACUAGGUCAUAGAUAUCCUGUUUUGCUUUAGAUUGAACAUUUUCGUUUCUCUCCUCCUAUCGCAGAUAUUAAAAAAAAUAUAUGUAAUAUGUGUCCGUCUUAUAGUCUUACUAAGACAAGUUUGCUAACCAUUCUUGAGUCAUUGCUUUUCUUUUGGCCUCCCACCAAAAUCUGUAGAUCUAGUCAACUGGAACGCAACACAUGAAGUCGUUUUUUUUGUGCGGUACAAAGAAAAUCAAAGGUUCUCUUCAUCGUCUUAAUCUAGAGUUUACCCUCAACUGGAUUCUUGGUUUCAUAGCUAUAACAAGCUUUACUCGAGAAAAAGUU
rnacentral:lncRNA from 1 species